rnacentral:rRNA from 1 species
GACAGAGGCCUCAGGCGUUAGGCGGAAUCACUGGGCUUAAAGCGUGUGUAGGCGGAUCGUUAAGUGCCUUGUGAAAUCCCACGGCUUAACUGUGGAACGGCUGGGCAUACUGGCGGUCUUGAGCCAUCUAGGGGCUACUGGAACAAACGGUGGAGCGGUGAAAUGCGUAGAUAUCGUUUGGAACGCCAAUGGUGAAAACAGGUAGCUGGGGAUGAGCUGACGCUGAGACACGAAAGCCAGGGGAGCAAACGGG